UGGCUCAGAACGAACGCUGGCGGCAGGCCUAACACAUGCAAGUCGAGCGCUCUCUUCGGAGGGAGCGGCGGACGGGUUAGUAACGCGUGGGAACGUGCCCUUCUCUGCGGAAUAGCCACUGGAAACGGUGAGUAAUACCGCAUACGCCCUUUGGGGGAAAGAUUUAUCGGAGAAGGAUCGGCCCGCGUUAGAUUAGGUAGUUGGUGGGGUAACGGCCUACCAAGCCUACGAUCUAUAGCUGGUUUUAGAGGAUGAUCAGCAACACUGGGACUGAGACACGGCCCAGACUCCUACGGGAGGCAGCAGUGGGGAAUCUUAGACAAUGGGCGAAAGCCUGAUCUAGCCAUGCCGCGUGAGUGAUGAAGGUCUUAGGAUCGUAAAGCUCUUUCGCCAGGGAUGAUAAUGACAGUACCUGGUAAAGAAACCCCGGCUAACUCCGUGCCAGCAGCCGCGGUAAUACGGAGGGGGUUAGCGUUGUUCGGAAUUACUGGGCGUAAAGCGUACGUAGGCGGAUCAGAAAGUAAGGGGUGAAAUCCCGGGGCUCAACCCCGGAACUGCCUCUUAAACUCCUGGUCUUGAGUUCGAGAGAGAUGAGUGGAAUUCCGAGUGUAGAGGUGAAAUUCGUAGAUAUUCGGAGGAACACCAGUGGCGAAGGCGGCUCACUGGCUCGAUACUGACGCUGAGGUACGAAAGUGUGGGGAGCAAACAGGAUUAGAUACCCUGGUAGUCCACACCGUAAACGAUGAAUGCCAGACGUCGGGCAGUAUACUGUUCGGUGUCACACCUAACGGAUUAAGCAUUCCGCCUGGGGAGUACGGUCGCAAGAUUAAAACUCAAA
rnacentral:rRNA from 1 species